GACGAACGCUGGCGGCGUGCUUAACACAUGCAAGUCACGGGGGCUCCUUCGGGGGCAACCGGCGAACGGGUGCGUAACACGUGAGCGACCUGCCCCUCCGCGGGGGAUAGCCGGCCCAACGGCCGGGUAAUACCGCAUACGUUCUUCGCGGGGCAUCCCGGGAAGAAGAAACCUCCGGGGCGGAGGGAGGGGCUCGCGGCCUAUCAGCUAGUUGGCGGGGUGACGGCCCACCAAGGCGGUGACGGGUAGCUGGUCUGAGAGGAUGGCCAGCCACAUUGGGACUGGGAGACGGCCCAGACUGCGACGGGAGGCAGCAGUGGGGAAUCUUGCGCAAUGGCCUGACGGCUGACGCAGCGACGCCGCGUGGGGGAGGAAGGGCUUCGGCCCGUAAACCCCUGUCGCCCGGGGCGAACCGUGGGUUUCGACCCACCUGACGGUACCGGGCGAGGAAGCACCGGCUAACUCCGUGC
rnacentral:rRNA from 1 species